GUCACAAAACUGAUAAAGAGGUGAGCUAGGAUUCAAACCCAGGUCUAUCUGGCUCUGAUGUCUGGGCUGGUUCCACAACAGUCUAGAGAGCCAACUCCUCAACACAGGGGUAGAUGGCAUUGAUAUCAACCUAUCUAAUGCUAAUUUAGGAAAACAAUCCUGAAAGAAAGAGUUCUACAGUGAAAAGAAGACUCUGUGAUUAGUCUGCUGGCCCAGCGGGAAUGGGCAGAGACCAUCUUUGUUUUAUUCACCGAUGGGUAUUCAGAACCUGGAACAGUGCUGGUGUGAGAUCCGAGGUCAGGGGGAUCAGGGUCUGCGUGUGUGUUGCCAGGAGGUGCUGAGAAGUUGGGGGAGUGACGUGUAAUCUUCUCCCCUUCCCUCAGUGGGGUAGGUAUGCCCAGAAAAGAAAGAAGUGACUUUCCUUCCACUGAUUGCCAUAUGGGCCACUUCCUGAACCUGAAAGAGAUGCCGUACCCCGAACACCAGGUCCUCAGCUCUAGCAAAUACAGGAGGGACAAGUUUCAGCCUCCGGCUGUCAGGGAGCAGCAAAUACAGAGGUGGGACCAGACCAGGCUCAUGGGAGUUUGUUCAUCAUUUCAUAGCCAUAUUAUGACCCAGUGUGAGAGGGCUGGAGAGUAAUUUCCAAGCCCUUAGGAAGUAGAUAGUCUAAGCCAUUGUUUUUGGGUUUUACGUGCUCUUGUGGUCAAUUCCUUUUUCUUCCUUUUUUUGAAAGGCAAACAAAUAGCCUAACAGCAAUAACAGUCAACAGGAUGGUGGCACAUCCGGGUUCAGACUCCAGCCUCCUCUUGCUGUAGUCAAAGUUAAUUAAUUCCCACUAUGCUUUGAACUAGGUUCCCUGCAGGUCUGUGCUGGGCCCUGCCCUGGCUGUCAGGGGAGGGCAUGGCUGGUUUGGCUCUCCGUGUGCUGUCCUGCGCAGGGGGAUGGAGAAGGGGCUGACAACAGAGUCGACCUCUUUGAGGCAGAAGCAUUCUGGCGUUUUGCACAGAGGAAACAGAACCAAAGUUGCCCUCGGGCCAAGGGGCUGACUCCUUGACCACUGGGUCAGUAUACAAACAGGGGUGGCAUCUCCAUGGUUCUGUUAUCUCAGUCUCUGCGGUAAACACCAGGCCCCAUGAUGGCUGCUUUGCUGAGGCUGAUUCAAAGAAGCACAGUGUGGAAUCACGAGGAGAAGGCAGGCCCAUAAAUCUCUGCCUGAGCACACUGAGGGUUUCAGGAGCUUGAGCAGCUCUGGACUCCAGCUGGCUGUCCCCCUUGCCCUCCCUCGUGCAUUAGCAAGCACUUCUUCCAAGGUUGCCACCCUUGGAGGGUUUCUUGCCCCAACCUCACCAGAUCAGGAGCUGAGGAAUGAGAGAAAAAACAACCAUUUGAGGCUGCCCAGAUGACAGAAUGUCCCUAAAAACAUGUACCUCCUUGCACUCAAGUGAUUGGAGCCCCCACAGUCUGCAGUAUUAGAAAGUGUCAUUUCGAGGGCGUGGUGAGAGGACUGGCUCCCUCCAGGCCACUCAUGAGCGGAAGCUGUGAGAAACUAACCAAAGCUUGGAGUUAUGUCUCCAAUUGGCUGGGUGAGGUGGGAAGUUCAGCCUCAGAGAGGGCCCGUCGUUGAUACAGUUGAUGAGCAAGAUGAAUCAGCAAAGACUGAGACGUGCCCAUCACACUUGGCAAUUCCCUAUUGCUUCUCCUCUGGGGAGCAAACAGACUUCAGUGGCUUUUCUCCGAGGCCAAGUUUCUUACCCAAAUCUUUCCCUGGGGUCUUUGGUCUGAAAUUAGAAAGGAGUUAGGAGUCAGCAGGAAAAUCACUCUUCAUUGUGAAUUACACAGCAACUCUUCAUGGAACUGCCCGUCUCCUUCCUCUAGGUACACAUCGAUCAUCAUCAAUCAAUCCGAGAAUUUCUCAAAUAUCCACCACAGACUCAGAAAUGGGCAUUUAGGCACAUGGUUCAAGUUUCAGUUUCUUCCAGCAGAUGACAUGUGGGGACCAGCCAGCAAAGCCUACUUAGUGACCUCCAGCAAAAAGUCCACCAGUGAGCUGCGCAGGAUGAGAUCAAAGCUUUGUCUCGGCAGCCAGACCAGAGGAGAUCCUGGUUCUCACUAUGCUCAGAGUCACAUUAAACAAACAAUACCACAGUUUUCACUAAAACCCGUUGAAUUUUAAAUGUACUGUUGACUAAAUUAGGGAGUUAUCGUUCAGUUGAUCUGGUAAUCCAUUUGUCCACCAAACUUCAGAUUUACAAACAAUGGUUUUCUGGGAAAGCCUCUUGAAGCCUGGAUGGUAAAUGUUUACCUUAAAAAAGCAAAAACUGAAGAAGGCAAAAGUGGCCUGGUGAGUAAAACCAAAAGCCUGCAGCAGACGGUCACGUUGCUGGACUGUUUGUUUUGAAAAAUGUUCCCAUUCCGAGCCUUGACAUUGGGGAAAUUAGGAACAUGGUAACCGACUUCCUGUCUAGUAUUUCCCUGGAUUUCCUGGAAUCCAAUUUGAAGUGUCGUUUUCCCCUGAACCACCAAGGAGUUAAACUUUGGCUCUGUUCUCCCAGUGACUAAUAGGCACCGUGUGGCUCUGAGAUCAGCGAGAAAGAAACUGACAGUCGGCGUGGGAAGUGUGCGAGAUUUCAGUGCUCUUGAAAUGCCUUUGAUGGGCAUGGUGAGCGAGCACAAGGAUUAUUGCCACCUAGAGCCCCUGAUUGUGUAAUUUGAUCUUGAAUUCUUGUUUCUCUCUUUGAAUUUUGCUUGAUUUUAAAGGAGGAUCUCGGACUCCUUUGGGGGCUUGAUAUGACUGCAGUGUGUGAGUUAUUCCACGGAGAAUGAUAUUUUAGGCAACAAACUAAUUCCACCACUUUGAAAAAUAACCCACUUUGGUUGAAAACAAAGCAGAAUCAAGUGACCUGACCAAAUGGCACUUGACGUGUGUUAGGGAGACUUGUCUUCCCGCUCUUGCUGUUUUCUUUCUUGUGAAAGGAGCCCAAUUAGCAUAACACUCCUGGCUUCUCACCACCCUCCCCCACCCCCAUUCUUCCCUGGGAAGGAGGAGUGGUUUAAGAUGACUGAUGAGUUUGGAAGGAGAAACUAUGCCUCAUACCAUCUUCUCUUCCUUUCUUCUUGGGAGUCAACACUCCUCCCGCAGGGUGGAAAGGAGAGGCCCAUUCUGGCCCAGCUGCCUAUUGCUGAGUGUCCACGUAUGAUUUUGAGGCCAAGUGUCAGGAAGCUCAUUGGCCUGAGAAUGUAAGCCACAUUCUCUAAUAUCAGCCUUAUUAGUAAUAAAGGUUAUUUUCGGUCCUCAUCUAGCUUACUGCUAUCUUACUUCUGAUUCACUUCAAAACUCGCAGAAAAGGGGAGGCGACUGCUAUUUUGAGGUCUCCUCAAAGACCCCAACAUAUUUACCAGGCGGCUUCCUGGUGGUUAGAAAAAGCCUUGUGUUGGGAUGAAACCCUGGCUUCUAGAACCACAUCACUACUUUCUUAUAGAACAACAGGUUCUUUAGUUGUCAAAUGAGUAAAGGGGAGUUUAUAGAAGGUGUUCCUUCCAGCUGAAAUGUAUCCAUUCAAAACUUAUUUAUUGAAUGCCUACUAUGUGCCAGGGAGUACAACGGUGAUCAAGAGAGACAGUCUCUGCUGCCACACAGUUUAUAAUCUAACUAGGGUGCAUCAAUUAGAAAGUUUAAUGUUCCAAGUGAAAUGAAACCAUCUCAAACAGGCUGAAGCAAUAAGGAAAAUUUAUUGGCUCACUGGGGAUCCAGGCACGAUUUGAUCCAGGACUCAAACAACAGGGAUCCAUUUCUUGGCUCUGCUUCCUCUGGGUGGGAUUCAUUCUUUUGUCACCAUAUGAUGCAACCCCUCCUCUCUCCUGGCAGCUCCACACUUUCCACUAUGACUGCAGGAGAAAUAAGAUGUACUGUUUACCAGGCUGAGAAGAGUCCAAGUGCCAACAUUCCCUACAGACUCCUGAGGUCCACUCUGAUUAGACCAUUUCAGGGCACAGGCCUCCCCUAAAGCGAUGACCUAGCUCAGAGUGAUAGAUACACUGAUGGGCUCAAACCCAGUGGGGUCCAUCCCUGGAUGGAGGAAAGUUGGGCCCUCCCUACAUGGCUCAGAAAUUUAGAAAUCUAUUAGGAAGAGAGAGGGGGCAGCAACCAGUAACUGUCCACGAUAGAAAGACAAUAUAUAAAAUGAGAAUUUUGCUUUGAGGGAACAAUUCAGCCUGUAGAAAAUGCAGGUAUCCCCUAAUUCCCUGGUGAGUCUAGCACAGGCCUGGGAAUCCAGAGAAUUGGCUUCCAAAUCCUGUGCAGGGCCCCUAUACACAACAGGCCCUCAGGAAAGUUCUGGAGGUUGACAGACUUUGCUCCUUGAUCUCACCUCUCUGGAACUGCCCUUGGGUUGGAUUCUCCUGCUCUGUGAUCCCUUUUCUUUUUUUGGAAAGGAGGAUAACAUGUACCUGAGAGGGACACUAAAAGGAUAACUGAGGUGACAUCCACAAAGCAUCUGUCACUAAAUAAACCCAAGCUAUCUAUUGACCUGUGCUUGUGACUCUUUCAGAUUUAAGGACAUUUAGCCAGUGGUUUAGGGGCUAAACAUUAACCACAUUGGGGCAGAUCAGCACCACAGGAGCUAUGAGCCGUGAAGAUACACAGGCCUUUGGUGUUCUAAGUUCAAAAGAUCUGUGUGAAACAAGGUAUAACCCAAAUUAGUUGAAAAUGGACAGCAAUACAGUCAAACAUGCCAGAUACGGAGAGUGCUCCAGCUAAGUACCACAGCUAGUUCUCAAAAGGUAUGAGUAUUUGCCAAGCAACCCAGAAGUACCAGCGGGGCCUGAGCAAUCCUUUGCUUCUUCAUUCAACAAACAUUUAUUGGGUACCCCCUAUACAAGUAGCUACUGUAGGAACACAAUCAAUGAUGAGACUGACACAAAUCCUUUUCAGAAAAAAGAAGGAAUCUCCAUUUAUCAAUAGGUAAAUUAUUAUAAGAAACCAGAUUACUAUAUGCAAAGCUAAAAUGAAUUCAAGAUCUACUAUGAUACCAGAGACAGAAGGUAAAACUAGUUUCAUUUUGUGGAGGAAGUUGGAGAAGGAGUGGGCCAUGCCUACCAAAUGAAUCUUGCAUUAAGGCAUAGACAAAUGUAUAGGGUUAAGUUGAGAGAUUGCGAUCAACUACACAGUCUUUUUUGGUCUCCCAAAUAAAUGUGACUCAGUCCUCUGAACACCCUCCAGCAGCAGUUAUUUGCACCUUUCUUACUGUUCCUAUUCUGACUCAUAUCACAGUCAAUUAUUUAUUCAUUCAAUUAUUCGGUCAAUCACUCAUUGAACAUUUAGGGCAAGCUUGAUAUGCACCAAGAACUACGUCAAAGGCCAG
rnacentral:lncRNA from 1 species